rnacentral:rRNA from 1 species
UCCGUAGGCGGGCGAUUAAGUCAGAGGUGAAAUCCCACAGCUCAACUGUGGAACUGCCUUUGAUACUGGUUGUCUUGAGUUACAGUGAAGUAGAUAGAAUAUGUAGUGUAGCGGUGAAAUGCAUAGAUAUUACAUAGAAUACCGAUUGCGAAGGCAGUCUACUAACUGUGAACUGACGCUAAGGGACGAAAGCGUGGGGAGCGAACAGGAUUAGAUACCCUGGUAGUCC